rnacentral:rRNA from 1 species
CAGCCGCCGCGGUAAUACGUAGGUGGCAAGCGUUGUCCGGAAUUAUUGGGCGUAAAGGGCUCGCAGGCGGUUUCUUAAGCCUGAUGUGAAAGCCCCCGGCUCAACCGGGGAGGGUCAUUGGAAACUGGGAAACUUGAGUGCAGAAGAGGAGAGUGGAAUUCCACGUGUAGCGGUGAAAUGCGUAGAGAUGUGGAGGAACACCAGUGGCGAAGGCGACUCUCUGGUCUGUAACUGACGCUGAGGAGCGAAAGCGUGGGGAGCGAACAGGAUUAGAUACCCCUGUAGUCCCUGUCUCUUAUAC